rnacentral:rRNA from 1 species
CAGUAGCCACGGUAAUACGAAGGGUGCAAGCGUUAAUCGGAAUUACUGGGCGUAAAGCGUGCGUAGGCGGUGAGUUAAGUCUGCUGUGAAAUCCCCGGGCUCAACCUGGGAAUGGCAAUGGAUACUGGCAAGCUAGAGUGUGUCAGAGGAUGGUGGAAUUCCCGGUGUAGCGGUGAAAUGCGUAGAGAUCGGGAGGAACAUCAGUGGCGAAGGCGGCCAUCUGGGACAACACUGACGCUGAGGCACGAAAGCGUGGGGAGCAAACAGGAUUAGAUACCCCUGUAGUCCCUGUCUCUUAUAC